AAAGAAGCGCGCAGCCCGGGGCAGCAGCAAGUGCUCCUUUUUCGGUGCGCUGCUUUCCAACUCUGCUGCCCUUUGAGGCUUUUCCUAACAACCGCACCCAGAGGUCCCAGCGCGGGUCUCAGCAUCCCAGGCCUGGGAGCCCCGCACCACCGCGAGAAUCGCCGUCCCCUACCUGGGUGGAAAAUCUGCAGCGAGCCGGUCAGCAGCCGAACACCGCACUGGCAAAGCCUCACAGGAGACAGCUAUAUCAGGAUCCCUUCUGGCGUAUGCAAUAGUGUCUGCAUUUGGUGGCUGAUUAUGGGAUGGACCCCCAGAGACAAAAAGACUCAGGACCAUUUCUCAUUGGCAGUAGCAGCAAAACACUGGAAAUCACUUUAAUGUUCAAUAUGAGGGGAGUUUUGAAGUCAAUAGUGGCAUAUAGCUGCAUGUGACAAGACACUUUAAAGUGUGAAAUCACUUUCUGGAAGAUGAUUUAAUGGAGAGGAGAAUGUAUAUGAGAAAACACAGCCUCCGACCUGAGUCUACAGAGUAACUCCAAUAUGCAGAUGAAGAUGAGAGUUUCAUGCUUCAAGGAACUGAUUUUAUACAAUUCCUCCAAAGUCUGGAGCAUAGGAUUUCAAUGUAGCCUCUCUACUGCCCUUCCAGGGGUCAGAUAGGCUUGCAAAUGUUUGAAGAGUAACACUGACCACACAAAGUCAUCCAGACAGACUAGCAGAGUCUCAGAGAACAGAUGGCCAAUGAGAGAAU
ensembl:processed_transcript 1500012K07Rik RIKEN cDNA 1500012K07 gene